AAAUUGAAGAGUUUGAUCAUGGCUCAGAUUGAACGCUGGCGGCAGGCCUAACACAUGCAAGUCGAACGGUAACAGGAAGCAGCUUGCUGCUUCGCUGACGAGUGGCGGACGGGUGAGUAAUGUCUGGGAAACUGCCUGAUGGAGGGGGAUAACUACUGGAAACGGUGGCUAAUACCGCAUAACGUCGCAAGACCAAAGAGGGGGACCUUCGGGCCUCUUGCCAUCAGAUGUGCCCAGAUGGGAUUAGCUUGUUGGUGAGGUAACGGCUCACCAAGGCGACGAUCCCUAGCUGGUCUGAGAGGAUGACCAGCCACACUGGAACUGAGACACGGUCCAGACUCCUACGGGAGGCAGCAGUGGGGAAUAUUGCACAAUGGGCGCAAGCCUGAUGCAGCCAUGCCGCGUGUAUGAAGAAGGCCUUCGGGUUGUAAAGUACUUUCAGCGGGGAGGAAGGUGUUGCGGUUAAUAACCGCAGCAAUUGACGUUACCCGCAGAAGAAGCACCGGCUAACUCCGUGCCAGCAGCCGCGGUAAUACGGAGGGUGCAAGCGUUAAUCGGAAUUACUGGGCGUAAAGCGCACGCAGGCGGUCUGUCAAGUCGGAUGUGAAAUCCCCGGGCUCAACCUGGGAACUGCAUUCGAAACUGGCAGGCUUGAGUCUUGUAGAGGGGGGUAGAAUUCCAGGUGUAGCGGUGAAAUGCGUAGAGAUCUGGAGGAAUACCGGUGGCGAAGGCGGCCCCCUGGACAAAGACUGACGCUCAGGUGCGAAAGCGUGGGGAGCAAACAGGAUUAGAUACCCUGGUAGUCCACGCCGUAAACGAUGUCUACUUGGAGGUUGUGCCCUUGAGGCGUGGCUUCCGGAGCUAACGCGUUAAGUAGACCGCCUGGGGAGUACGGCCGCAAGGUUAAAACUCAAAUGAAUUGACGGGGGCCCGCACAAGCGGUGGAGCAUGUGGUUUAAUUCGAUGCAACGCGAAGAACCUUACCUGGUCUUGACAUCCACAGAACUUUCCAGAGAUGGAUUGGUGCCUUCGGGAAC
rnacentral:rRNA from 1 species